AUGGGGAAAUUCUUACGUUUCUCUUCUGACAGACUCAACCUCACUCUAAAACCUAAAGUCGUCUCUCUAAGAGGAACAAGGCUUCUCUUCAGACGCAUCACAAACAUACACACACUCAGGCUGAGUGAUUAUAUGGUAGUGAGAAUAGUGCAGGCACUGAGAUCUAUGAGAGUUCAAGCUCUCGUUGCUGUUAAUGAACUCACACUUGAUCUGAAUGAUAAACAGCGGUCAGAGAGGAAACGGUCCAGGGUUCUGAGCUUAGCCAUCCUUCUGAGACUCUGGACUGUCCAGCGUUUGAACUUGACUGAAUACAAGAUUUAUUCUGUUUCUCUAUUGGUCCUACUGUGUCACCAGGGACCAGUGACUCUCAGACCAUCGAAGGAGACUCUCCGGAAGCUUGUUGAAUGUGUCUAUAAAGCUCAGGAAGAGGAACUGACUCAGUGCUUCCUGCAGAAGGUGGACGGGGAUCUGACUUCCUGUUCCUUAAACUGGGAAGAGCUUCACUAUUUCCUGCAGCACAGAAUUGAACAAAUCACUCGGAACCUCAGAAAGAGCAGCAUUCAAUGCAACAUCAGAGAAAUUCUGCCAUUCUUGAACAGGAUUAAGUUUAAACGGAUGAGCUCUAGCUUCAUGCUGUCUGUAAUCAGAGAGAUCUAUGAGUCCGGCUCUGUUGGUUUUGUGUCCAGUCUGUUGAGUUCAGUGGAGAACUACAUUAACCUGCAGAGCAGAGAGCUGGACUCUGUUCACUGUGCGGCCCUGCGCUUCACACUGCAGCACUGCACUGCAGUUUCACUCAAUCUGCUGUGGACCUCCAUACCAGAGGAAGAGCUGGAGAGCAUUCUGCCUCUCUUCACACAUGUCUCCCACCUUAGGUCUCACUGCUUUUCUCUAUUCUUCACUUUUUCGGUCUCAAGUCUGCCUGUGUUAUGUUACGACCCCUGACUCAAGGGAAGCAACAAAACGGAGGACACACGUAAAUCCCAAAUUGUUGGCUCAAAAUAUAACUUUAUUUAAAGAUUAAAGUCACAUUCUAAAAAGCAAUAAAGAAAACAACUAUGUCUUUGGAAAACAUCAGUAAUAUCAAUGUGUAAUGUAAAGUGCAUGGAUGUAAUGUAAUGUAGUGUUGAAGCGAGAAUGCAUAAAUAACCCAAGACCAAAAACGAAGCCCCCCUCUGGAUCAAAUGGAAGCCUCUUUUAAAAGGAGCGUCUGAGUCAGAACAGGUGUUUUCAAUCGACUGCCA
rnacentral:lncRNA from 1 species